rnacentral:tRNA from 1 species
ACUAAAGUGGCUGAAAGAGUAAUAAAUUGUAAAUUUAUAAAUGAAAUAAUAGAUUUCCUUUAGUA